rnacentral:rRNA from 1 species
GUCGAACGAAGUAGCAAUACUUAGUGGCAGACGGGUGUGUAACAUGUAGGUAUCUACCCUAUGGCCUGGAAUAACACGAGGAAACUUGUGCUAAUACCGGAUAAGUCUUUACGGAGAAAGCUUUAUGCACCAUUGGAUGAGCCUGCACUUGAUUAGUUUGUUGGUGGGGUAAUGGCCUACCAAGACUUUGAUCAAUAGCUGAUUUGAGAGGAUGAUCAGCCACAUUGGGACUGAGACACGGCCCAAACUCCUACGGGAGGCAGCAGUGGGGAAUCUUGCACAAUGGAGGAAACUCUGAUGCAGCGAUGCCGCGUGAGUGAAGAAGGCCUUUGGGUUGUAAAGCUCUUUCGUCGGGGAAGAAAAUGACUGUACCCGAAUAAGAAGGUCCGGCUAACUUCGUGCCAGCAGCCGCGGUAAUACGAAGGGACCUAGCGUAGUUCGGAAUUACUGGGCUUAAAGAGUUCGUAGGUGGUUGAAAAAGUUGGCGGUGAAAUCCCAGAGCUUAACUCUGGAACUGCCAUCAAAACUUUUCAGCUAGAGUUUGAUAGAGGAAAGCAGAAUUUCUAGUGUAGAGGUGAAAUUCGUAGAUAUUAGAAAGAAUACCAAUUGCGAAGGCAGCUUUCUGGAUCAUUACUGACACUGAGGAACGAAAGCAUGGGUAGCGAAGAGGAUUAGAUACCCUCGUAGUCCAUGCCGUAAACGAUGUGUGUUAGACGUUGGAAAUUUUUUUUCCAGUGUCGCAGCGAAAGCGAUAAACACACCGCCUGGGGAGUACGACCGCAAGGUUAAAACUCAAAUGAAUUGACGGGGA